rnacentral:rRNA from 1 species
UACGUAGGGGGCAAGCGUUGUCCGGAAUCAUUGGGCGUAAAGAGCGUGUAGGCGGCCCGGUAAGUCCGCUGUGAAAGUCCAGGGCUCAACCCUGGGAUGCCGGUGGAUACUGUCGGGCUCGAGUCCGGAAGAGGAGUGUGGAAUUCCGUGGUGUAGCGGUGAAAUGCGCAGAUAUCAGGAGGACACCAAUGGCGAAGGCA